rnacentral:tRNA from 1 species
UUUAGGGUGGCAGAUAAUAUGCACUAGAUUUAAGCUCUAGGGAUGAGUAUAAUUACUCCUCUAAA